rnacentral:rRNA from 1 species
UUUACCUAGGGAGGCAGCAAUAGGGAAUCUUCCACAAUGGACGAAAGUCUGAUGGAGCAACGCCGCGUGAGUGAAGAAGGGUUUCGGCUCGUAAAGCUCUGUUGGUAGUGAAGAAAGAUAGGGGUCGUAACUGGCCUUUAUUUGACGGUACUUACUUAGAAAGUCACGGCUAACUACGUGCCAGCAGCCGCGGUAAUACGUAGGUUGCAAGCGUUGUCCGGACUUACUUGGCGUAAAGCG